UAAUACGUAGGGUGCUAGCGUUGUUCGGAAUCAUUGGGCGUAAAGCGCGUGUAGGCGGUCAACUAAGUCGGGUGUGAAAUCCCUGGGCUCAACCGAGGAAGUGCAUCCGAAACUAGUUGGCUGGAAGAUGGUAGAGGAAGGUGGAAUUCCAAGUGUAGAGGUGAAAUUCGUAGAUAUUUGGAGGAAUACCGGUGGCGAAGGCGGCCUUCUGGACCAUUCUUGACGCUGAGACGCGAAAGCGUGGGGAGCAAACAGG
rnacentral:rRNA from 1 species